rnacentral:rRNA from 1 species
AUUGAACGCUGGCGGCAUGCCUUACACAUGCAAGUCGAACGGCAGCGGACCUUCGGGUGCCGGCGAGUGGCGAACGGGUGAGUAAUGCAUCGGAACGUACCUUUCAGUGGGGGAUAACGUAGCGAAAGUUACGCUAAUACCGCAUAUUCUGUGAGCAGGAAAGCAGGGGAUCGCAAGACCUUGCGCUGAUUGAGCGGCCGAUGUCAGAUUAGCUAGUUGGUGAGGUAAAGGCUCACCAAGGCGACGAUCUGUAGCGGGUCUGAGAGGAUGAUCCGCCACACUGGGACUGAGACACGGCCCAGACUCCUACGGGAGGCAGCAGUGGGGAAUUUUGGACGAUGGGGGCAACCCUGAGCCAGCCAUGCCGCGUGAGUGAAGAAGGCCUUCGGGUUGUAAAGCUCUUUCGGCCGGGAAGAAAUCGCACGGGCUAAUACCCUGUGUGGAUGACGGUACCGGAAUAAGAAGCACCGGCUAACUACGUGCCAGCCGCCGCCGUAAGAC